rnacentral:rRNA from 1 species
AGCGAACGCUGGCGGCAGGCCUAACACAUGCAAGUCGAACGGACCCUUCGGGGUUAGUGGCGGACGGGUGAGUAACACGUGGGAACGUGCCUUUAGGUUCGGAAUAGCUCCUGGAAACGGGUGGUAAUGCCGAAUGUGCCCUUCGGGGAAAGGAUUUAUCGCCUUUAGAGCGGCCCGCGUCUGAUUAGCUAGUUGGUGAG